CCUACGGGGGGCAGCAGUGAGGAAUAUUGGUCAAUGGGCGUAAGCCUGAACCAGCCAAGUCGCGUGCGGGAUGAAGGUCCUAUGGAUCGUAAACCUCUUUUAUAAGGGAAUAAAGUGCGGGACGUGUCCCGUUUUGUAUGUACCUUAUGAAUAAGGAUCGGCUAACUCCGUGCCAGCAGCCGCGGUAAUACGGAGGAUCCGAGCGUUAUCCGGAUUUAUUGGGUUUAAAGGGUGCGUAGGCGGCCUUUUAAGUCAGCGGUGAAAGUCUGUGGCUCAACCAUAGAAUUGCCGUUGAAACUGGAAGGCUCGAGUGUGUGAGAGGCAUGCGGAAUGCGGGGUGUAGCGGUGAAAUGCUUAGAUAUCACGCAGAACCCCGAUUGCGAAGGCAGCCUGCC
rnacentral:rRNA from 1 species